GUAGGGAAUAUUGCGCAAUGGACGAAAGUCUGACGCAGCGACGCCGCGUGAGUGAUGAAGGCCUUAGGGUCGUAAAGCUCUGUUGAAUGGGAAGAAAAAAAUGACGGUACCAUUCGAGGAAGGACCGGCUAACUUCGUGCCAGCAGCCGCGGUAAUACGAGGGGUCCUAGCGUUGUUCGGAAUCAUUGGGCGUAAAGGGUGUGUAGGUGGCCAUGUAAGUCAGGUGUGAAAGCCCCGGGCUCAACCGGGGAAGUGCACUUGAUACUGCGUGGAUUGGGUACCGAAGAGGGUAGUGGAAUUCCAGGUGUAGUGGUGAAAUACGUAGAUAUCUGGAGGAACACCGGUGGCGAAGGCGGCUACCUGGUCGAGUACAGACACUGAGACACGAAAGCAUGGGGAUCAAACAGGAUUAGAAACCCGGGUAGUCC
rnacentral:rRNA from 1 species